AUGCUUCAUGAGAACAACAUCCUCGCAAAAUCUUUCAGAAUGGCAAGAGAUAGAUUCAAAGAAGAAGACUACCAUGAUUACACACUUAGAAUACUUGGGAAAAGGAACGGAACACACAACCUUCCAUCUGCAUCAGAAGUUGCAGCAUUGGUUGUAAGAGACCCAACUGGAGAGAGCGAAGGACGAGAUAUCGUUGUCGAGUACAAAAAUAUGGAGCCUCAUAGAAUAUCGGAAAUCCAUCCAAAAUUAAUGUCGAUGCAAUACCCAUUGUUGUUUCCAUACGGAGAAGAUGGCUUCAAGCUUGAAAUACCUUACAAGCGAACAAAAGAAGGUGACAAAAGCAGGAAAUAUGUAACUAUGCUGGACUACUAUGCAUACUAA
rnacentral:rRNA from 1 species